CUGCUUACCAGCACCCCAGUCCUGUGCCUGGUUCACUUCGUUUUACCACGUGGCCAUCACCCACGAGGCGGACGAACCCAUUGCCAUCACAAAGCUGCUUGGAGAAGUGUAAACUACAUUGAAUUCGACAGGAAAAACUCUUCUUGCCUUCAGUGGGACACAAAAGAGAUCUGAGAGAGGAGGGGAAAAAAAGAAUAGCAGGGGCUGGAAGGGACCUCAGAAGAUCAUCUAGUCCAACUCCCACUGCCAGAGCAGGAUCUCCUAUAGCAGAUCACAGAGGAACGUGACCAGUGUCAUGACCUCAGGCCUGGAGGCUUAACUCCCAUUGCAGCUAACUGCCAUCACUCAUCAGCAAAAAACUUCCUGCUUAAAUGGGGGAUUUGUAAGAAAUGGGUAUUUAAUUCAGGCUAAUGUGGUAAUGUUCUACAUGGUAACAGCCUGUUUUGUUGAGCUUUGAGAGUGAGGGAGAUCAGCUGCUCUCUAGAGAUGCCUUCUGUUACUUUGUGAUGGUAAGUGUCAUCCACUGUAGAUGUUUUGAGUUAUGCCUUGUAGAAAUGGAAUUAGCCUCACGAGAGGUUAGGGGCUGGAAGGAACCUUAAGAGAUCAUCUAGUCUAACCCACAUGCCAGAGCAGGAUCACCUAUACCGGAU